CGCAGCGAUGGGAUCCAGAGGAAAGGAGAGGACUUUAAGCUGCGGUUAAGCACUGAUUUCACUUCCCCGGGGCCUAGCGUGAAAUGGAAGAGAACUAGUUAAGAGAAAGGAGGUGGUAAACUACCCAAAGACAGCACAGAAGAGGAAAUGCAUGCUUCUAGACAGGGCAGACAAGGAACCCUAAGAAGAAAAGAUUAGGACAGAGACACACAGAGGAAGACCAUGUGAAGAUACAGGGAAAAGAUGGCUAUCUGCAAGCUGAGAGAAGCCUGAGAAGAAACCAAUCCUGCGAAUACUUCCAUCUCAGAUUUCUGAGCUCCAGAAUUGUGAAAAAAUUAACUUCCAAUUUAAACCACCUGUCUGUGGUACUUUCUUAUGGCAGCCCAGCAACUAAUAUAAUAAUUAAAAGAUUGUUUUGGUGCCUGUGUGUUCUUCCUGGUUGACUUGGGACCAACUUGAUGGAAAACUGCUCUGCUCUUAGUCUUAUCUGGUUCAUUUUCCUUCCAAAUAAAGGAAAACUGAUUGAGUCAA